GUGAGGAAUAUUGGUCAAUGGGCGAGAGCCUGAACCAGCCAAGUCGCGUGAAGGAUGAAGGUUUUAUGAAUUGUAAACUUCUUUUGCAGGGGAAUAAAGUACGGUACGUGUACCGUUUUGUAUGUACUCUGCGAAUAAGGAUCGGCUAACUCCGUGCCAGCAGCCGCGGUAAUACGGAGGAUCCAAGCGUUAUCCGGAUUUAUUGGGUUUAAAGGGUGCGCAGGCGGGUUGAUAAGUCAGCGGUGAAAGUUUGCAGCUUAACUGUAAAAAUGCCGUUGAAACUGUCGGACUUGAGUGUAAAUGAGGUAGGCGGAAUGCGUGGUGUAGCGGUGAAAUGCAUAGAUAUCACGCAGAACUCCGAUUGCGAAGGCAGCUUACUAAGCUACAACUGACACUGAAGCACGAAAGCGUGGGGAUCAAACAGGAUUAGAAACCCCGGUAGUCC
rnacentral:rRNA from 1 species